rnacentral:rRNA from 1 species
AACGAGUCGCAAGCUCGCGAGAGUAAGCUAAUCUCUUAAAGCCGUUCUCAGUUCGGACUGUAGGCUGCAACUCGCCUACACGAAGUCGGAAUCGCUAGUAAUCGCGGAUCAGCAUGCCGCGGUGAAUACGUUCCCGGGCCUUGUACACACCGCCCGUCACACCAUGGGAGUUUGUAACGCCCAAAGUCGGUGGCCUAACCUUUAUGGAGGGAGCCGCCUAAGGCGGGACAGAUGACUGGGGUGAAGUCGUAACAAGGUAAC